rnacentral:rRNA from 1 species
GCAUAUCAUAGCGAGAAAGAACUACAAGGAUUCCCCUAGUAACGGCGAGUGAAGCGGGAUGAGCUCAAAUUUAAAAUCUGGCUGGUUUACCAGUCCGAGUUGUAGUUUAAAGAAGCGUUUUCGGUGGCAGGCCGGGUAUAAAUCCUUUGGAACAGGGUAUCAUAGAGGGUGAGAAUCCCGUCUUUGACUCGGCUGAUGUUACUAUGUGAUACGUUUUCAAAGAGUCGAGUUGUUUGGGAAUGCAGCUCAAAAUGGGUGGUAAAUUUCAUCUAAGGCUAAAUAUUGGCGAGAGACCGAUAGCGAACAAGUACCGUGAGGGAAAGAUGAAAAGAACUUUGAAAAGAGAGUUAAACAGUGCGUGAAAUUGUUGAAAGGGAAACGUUUGACACCAGCUAUGUAGGCGGAAAAUCAGUCAAGCGCAGUGAGGGGCUGGUGUUUGUCCGGACCGCAAGGCCGGCGGAUAUCUCAUCUUUGCUGUGGGUGAUGCACUUUUUCGUUCGCAGGUCAACAUCAGUUUCGCUUGCUGGACAAAACCCCGAGAGAAGGUAGCAGCUUUGGCUGUGUUAUAGCUCUGGGGCGAUACAGUGGGUGGGACUGAGGAUUCGCAGUGUGUGCUCUCGGGCAAGGCUGACUGGGUGCUCUGGGGUCGUUUGGCGUACAAUGCUUGCAUUUUGCGUCUUGUCUUCUUCAGACUCGCUUAGUUCGGCUCUUCCACGCUUAGGAUGUUGACUUAAUGGUUUUAAACGACCCGUCUUGAAACACGGACCAAGGAGUCUAACAUGCAUGCAAGUGUUUGGGUGGCAAACCCAUGCGCGUAAUGAAAGUGAACGUAGGUGCGAUCCGCAAGGUGCAGCAUCGACCGAUCUUGAUAUUUUUGGAUAGAUUUGAGUAAGAGCAUGUAUGCUGGGACCCGGAAAGAUGGUGAACUAUGCCUGAAUAGGGUGAAGCCAGAGGAAACAAUGGUGGAGGCUCGUAGCGAUUCUGACGUGCAAAUCGAUCGUCAAAUUUGGGUAUAGG